CUGACCAGUUCUUUCCUAGACAGGAUUGUAUUCAGAAAGUAGCAGUGGCCCAGAAAGCUGCAUUUCUUGAAACUCUGGAUUGAAUCUGGAGAAUUCCGAGGUAAACAGCAUGCUGUUGGAAGAGUAACAUCCUGGCGAGUACACCAAGCAGUUUGAUAGGCAGACUUUAGGAACAGGCAUGGAAAAUCUCAGAAAAAGUUCCAGCUGGACGGGACAUAGAGAUUACCUUGUCUAACCACCUCAUUUCACAGUUCUUAGCCUUCUGUUUCCAGUGGAAGACCUUCAACCAAGUCUUUGACUUCAAUGCUAGCUCUACCAGGUCUAGCUCAGUUAUCACCUCUAGCAACUGGACGAGACUAGAGGAUGUGGACCUUUGUUUGGAAGUUUCUGAAGCAUGCCCACUCCUCCUCCACCCACCACAGGAGUGCAGGCAUGCCCAUGUGCUGUGAGGACACCAGAUGAUUGACUGAAGCUUAGGAAUGCAGACUCCUUCCAGAGAAGCUGGUCUUCUAGCUAGACAGAUCAGUUUCACAUUCCUCUUCCAGACUCUGUUGGUACCUUCAAGAGACAGACCAGCAUAUAACACAACAGAUCUGUUGUAAGGGGAGAAAAAAACUGUACCCAUGUGCCCCUUCUCCCUUCCCCAGAGAAGAAGUAAUGGCAACUUGGGGCAGAACUACAAAGCAAUAGUAGACAUUUGUUUACAUGUAGCUUAAGGGAGACAGCUUAGUAUAGUGGAUAAAGUACUGGACCUGGAGUCAGGAAUACUUGAGUUUGAAUCUUGCCUCAAACAUGUGACAAUGGGUAGGUCAUUUAACCCCUCUUAGUCUCAAUGAUCUCAUCUGUAGAAAGGGGAUAAUAAUAACACCUACCUCAUAAGAUUGUUGUGAGGAUAGAAUGAAAUAUUGUAUACAAAGUGUCCUACACAUUUUAAAAUGCCACGUAAAUGCUAGCUUUUAUUCAAAGUGAUCCUGUGGGCUGACUUUCCCAGCUCACAAGAUAGUAGAAUCCAGGGAACUUACGAAUAGUGUCAGACAUGUUUGUUCACUUUGUCUGAAAGGAUAGUUCAUGGACAAUGUGAACCCCAAACUUCUAUGUGGAGGAGAAUUUUGAGUUUUGAAUUCCUUAGGCAGUGUGAUCCUGGAAUCUGGUCUAGCCAAGGAAGAAAGAUCCUCUGGGCAGCAAUAGCCUUGAUUGGAGAGUUCCCAAAGUUGAGAUGGCAGGCAGUGGCCUUCUAAAGAUAUAAUAUUUCCUUAACAGUAUAUUUCUUACGGAAAGAAGAUUGUCAACGUGGAGCUGAAGGGAUAAAGUCACGUCAUUGAGGAGCAAGAGAUUAGGUUUAAGUACUUGGAUAGUGGAGGUCUGAUGAAAAGGGGAUUCAGCAGCCCUCAAAUUAUGUGUACCUUAAAGCAGAGGGUGGUACCACAAGUCUUAGGGGGACUGUGUAGGACUGGGUGGAAAAGAACGAUUCAUCAGAAUAUCAAACGGUUGUCCUGAUAGUAACCUCAAGUUCAGUUCCUUUCUGGGAGCAGGUUGAAUAACUGAUGAGAUAUCUGAGUGCUUCAUCUUCAUCUAUUUCUACCUCUGUUCAUGGAUAUCUGGAGGUCCUUCAUUUCUUCUGAAUUUUCUAUGGGGUGAAAGAAUGGCCGGUUCAUACCCUAUUUGCAUUUGGUACCUUAAGGGCUUGUACAGGAACUGGGAGCCCAGUUACCCACUUUCCUGAAACCCUCCCUUAUAACAAAGAAAAACAGUGAGACACAAAGAACUGAAAUAGCAACCAUGUCUCUCUGUCAGUGUAUGUGAUAUUUGGAAUAAAUAAUGAACCACUUCCCACACUGUCUGGAGGAAGGAUGCAAGAUUCAUCAUCCGUUUCCUAUAACCAAUAUUCCUAACCAAUAACCAAUAACCAUAACUAUAUUUUGUCUGAGUCCAGCAGCCUCUUAUUGUGGAUUUUCUUUACAUUAUUACAGUAAUUGUGUACAUUUAUUCUCUGGUUCUUUUUUCUUUACUCUGUACCAUUUCUUCUAGUUCUUCCCAUGUUCCUUUUGUAAUCUGAGUGGGGUCAAUCCACUCUUUAAUUGCUACUGGCUCAUUUUUCUUAUGAGUUCUUAUCUGUGCUUCUAAAGCGAUGUUAUAUAGUUUCAUCCUCACAACAACCCUUUGGGGUAGUUGCUUUUAUUAUCCUCAUUUUACAGAUGAGGAA